rnacentral:rRNA from 1 species
UACGGGGGGGGCAAGCGUUGUUCGGAAUCACUGGGCGUAAAGGGCGUGUAGGCGGUUCGGCAAGUGAAAUGUGAAAUCCCUCGGCUCACCCGAGGAUCUGCAUCUCAAACUGCCGGACUAGAGUAUGGGAGAGGACAAGGGAAUUCCUGGUGUAGCGGCGAAAUGCGUAGAUAUCAGGAGGAACACCGGUGGCGAAAGCGCUUGUCUGGCCCAAUACUUACGCUGAGGCGCGAAAGCUAGGGGAGCAAACGGG